CGAGAAAGCCCGCAAGGGUGAGUACAGCGGCGCACGGGUGCGUAACACGUGGGUAAUCUACCCUGAAGUCCGGAAUAACUCCCCGAAAGGGGUGCUAAUGCCGGAUGAGACCACGGGGGCUUCGGCCUCCGCGGGAAAAGGUGGCCUCUGUAUACAAGCUAUCACUUCAGGAUGAGCCCGCGGCCCAUCAGCUCGUUGGCGGGGUAAUGGCCCACCAAGGCUACGACGGGUAGCUGGUCUGAGAGGACGAUCAGCCACACUGGAACUGAGACAAGGUCCAGACUCCUACGGGAGGCAGCAGUGGGGAAUCUUGCGCAAUGGGCGAAAGCCUGACGCAGCAACGCCGCGUGUGUGAUGAAGGUCUUCGGAUCGUAAAGCACUGUCGCGAGGGACG
rnacentral:rRNA from 1 species